rnacentral:rRNA from 1 species
CACGUAGGGGGCAAGCGUUGUCCGGAUUUAUUGGGCGUAAAGAGCUCGUAGGCGGUUCGGCAAGUCGGGUGUGAAACCCCCAGGCUCAACCUGGGGACGCCACCCGAUACUGCUGUGACUGGAGUCCGGUAGGGGAGCGUGGAAUUCCUGGUGUAGCGGUGAAAUGACGCAGAUAUCAGGAGGAACACCAGCGGCGAAGGCGGCGCUCUGGGCCGGUACUGACGCUGAGGAGCGAAAGCGUGGGUAGCAAACAGG